AGGAAGAAGGAGGAGUUGAGGAUGAUAGUGCCAUUUCUAAUCUGCUUUGGGAACCCGUAUAUGCUUCUACUUACUAUCGUGCUAUUCCUGCUGCCCAUAAAUACCUGUCUUUUGUGUCGAUUAAUCGGCGGGUCACAGAAAGUCGAGAGAGCCAAAUGACGAUUGAGGAGAGGAAGCAGCUCAUCACAGUGAGAGAGGAGGCCUGGAAGACGAGAGGCAGAGGAGCGGCCAACGACUCGACCCAGUUCACUGUGGCUGGCAGGAUGGUGAAGAAAGGUCAGCGUGUGUGUGCACGUGUGUGUGUGUGUCCAUGUGUGUGGUGUGUGCACAAUGCAUACAUGUGAGCACACUUACCCAUGGAGGGCAUGGUGGUACGUGAUAGCUCAAUUUAAAAGAAGAAACCAUGGUCUUUUUAAGUUUUUUCUAAGAGACAGGGUCUUGCUCUUUUGCCUAGG